rnacentral:rRNA from 1 species
GACGAACCGAGCGAACGUUGUUCGGAAUCACUGGGCUUAAAGGGCGCGUAGGCGGAUUCUCAAGUCCGGGGUGAAAUCCCACAGCUCAACUGUGGAACUGCCUCGGAUACUGGGAGUCUCGAGGGUGGCAGGGGUAUGCGGAACUAUCGGUGGAGCGGUGAAAUGCGUUGAUAUCGGUAGGAACUCCGGUGGCGAAGGCGGCAUACUGGUCCACUUCUGACGCUGAGGCGCGAAAGCCAGGGGAGCAAACGGG